GGGCUCAUUUGGCCAGCACAUGUACUAAAAUUGGGAUGAUACAGAGAAGAUUAGCCUGGACCCUACACAAGGGUGGAUGACACACUAAUUUGUAAAGUGUCCCAUAUCCUG